UUGAGGAUUUCCAUUUUUCACUUUCAUGGUUUCACUUUCACCAUUUCAGCCACCUCGUCCAAUCUCUCCCAUCAACCUUGCUUUGCUCAAAGAAGGAAGAAUUAAAGAAAGGAUUAUUGAUCAAUUGGAAGCCUCAUCCGAUCUCUCCCAUCAAGCUCAAUUUCUACACUUGGAGUUGGAGGUUCUUGGAUUGAUCUAUUCUUUCUAGGAAUUGCCAUUUGGAGUUGACAAGGUCGCCGAGAAGUUUACAACAUGUGCAAAUAAGAUGCAAUUGAAGUUGGACUCCUUGACUUUUCAAGUGUUCAGAGAUCAAGAGUGGUAGACUGGUGUAGAUCUUGAAAGACUGUCUGUAGAUGUUGCUUGUCUUAUUGUAAAAUUUGAAUUCUUGUCAUUAUCUAUCCCUGUAUUCUUGUAUUUUGUAUUUUGGACUUCUGUAUUAUGGUAUUGUGUACUUUGUAGAGUCUGUAAUUUUGUACCUCAGUUGGUUUGUUGUAGUUUUGUUUGUCCUGAACCA